UACACCGGCCUAAAGGUAGCUUUUGCUGUGGAAAUUUCACUUGUAGUAGGAAACAGGUAAACAGACACAGAUGUAGCUCAGCAUUAAAAAAAAAUCCUAUCCCCAGUUUCAUAGACUGUUAAUGCAGCUCAUGACAUAUACCAUCUCAAAUGCAUUCUUGGCUCUUCCAAUGUAGGUCUGACUAAGUAUUAGUAACCCUUCUGUGGCUAAAACACUACAUGGAACCACAUCGUGGGAGUGAUUCAACCCUAAAAGUCCCAGGGCUAUUUACUUCCUGUGUGUUGCACCUAAAGGCUGGAGAAAUGCUGUACUUACCAUUGCCCCCAGAGACCAAAGAAAAUGAUGCAGGGUAAUUAGUGUUGUACACAUGUGUUAUGCUCUUCAGGAUGCAAGUUUCCAAGUGUCAGCCCGCUGACUACCGUAACCAGUGAACCGGCUAAUUUCCUGUCUCCAUGGUCACAGAGAAAGCUGUCAUUCUCGCUUCGUACGACGUUACAAAAGCAAACCAUCCAUAAGGAGCUCAAACAUAAACUGUCUACACACAGCCUCCUGCAAAGACAUACACACACAGCUUGAGCUUUAGCUAGCUAUAUAUGAUUCAAACAGGAGUCAGUUGGCCUUUUUUCUGCCUCUCUCUGCUCUCACCCCCCAACAAGGCACGGCAGAUGUCUGCCUCUCCCUGAGACUGAGCCUGGUUCCGAUGGAGUUUUCUUCCUGUUGAAAGGGAGUUUUUCCUUCCCGUUGUCACCAAGUGCUUGCUCAUAGGGAGUAGGCUGUAUGUUGAGAUUUCUUUCUAAUAUUCUAUAGUCUUUAUCUUAUAAUAUAAAGAGGCUUGAACUGACUGUUGUUGUUAAUAUGUGCUAUAUAAAUAAAACUGAAAUUACAUUUUUUUAAAUAGAUUUCAGGUCCAUAUGUGUAAUCAGUAUGUGGGAUGUAUGAGUGGAAAAUGUGCUCUUUAUUAAGAAAACAAGACUCUUUGACUUUAUUUAUUUGAUUAAUGGUGAAGAUUAGUCAGGAAAGCAGGGAUUGCCUCAAGUCAGAGGCAAACCCAGGCCACUGCAUUUCACCUUGCAGCAUACAGUGAGCUAAACUGGCACCUAGCAGAAAACCUAUAUUGACACCAUAUUGGCAAAGGUAUGUGCACAACUUAUUGCAUUCUAGGACUGCUUUUUCAGAGUGACUUUAGAUUUGUGCCAACAGUUGUGGUUUCAGUUUUGUGACCACCAAAACAAUUCAUUGGUGUUUGAAAGCCACGCAUGUCAGUGCUUAAAAACUCAGUUCAAGUGUACACUUUGGUCCAAGUCUGGUGCACAUUUAUGGCCUCAA